rnacentral:rRNA from 1 species
UACGUAGGGGCAAGCGUUGUCCGGAAUCAUUGGGCGUAAAGAGCGUGUAGGCGGCCUGAUAAGUCGGUUGUGAAAGUCAAGGGCUCAACCCUUGAAUGCCGGCCGAUACUGUCAGGCUAGAGUCCGGAAGAGGCGAGUGGAAUCCUGGUGUAGCGGUGGAAUGCGUAGAGAUCCGGAAGAACACCGGUGGCGAAGGCGGCCUGCUGGGCAGUAGCUGACGCUGAGGCGCGACAGCGUGGGGAGCAAACAGG